AUUUGUUUCUCACACAACAAGUUGAAUAUCCAAUUGUGCUUCAAUUUUCUGAGUUUAUGUAUGAGCAAGUUUAUCAAGAUUGAACUCAAAUAGUCUAUAGAGUAGGAAAUAACCCAUACUUUAAUGCUUAUAAUUUAGGCUGGGCAGUUCAACCAAGUUUUUUAUAGAAACCACAACUAAUGAUUACCCUGGUACUAUAAGGAUUUAUGCUUGAUUAUGAUAUGCCCUAUUCACAAUAUCAACCUUCUCCAACUAUCUAUAGCCCAUCAUUUGAAGAGAAGGUUCUGCAAACCUUAGAAACAAUGAAAAUCAAUAGCCAAGCAUGAGAUCAGAUCCUUCACUCCUUUAUGCAAUCCUUAACUGAACUAAAAAUUCAAGUUGAUUAAGCAAUCACAUUCAUUAGGGAGG
rnacentral:lncRNA from 1 species